rnacentral:rRNA from 1 species
AGAGUUUGAUCCUGGCUCAGGAUGAACGCUAGCUACAGGCUUAACACAUGCAAGUCGAGGGGCAUCAGGAAGAAAGCUUGCUUUCUUUGCUGGCGACCGGCGCACGGGUGAGUAACACGUAUCCAACCUGCCCUUUACUCGGGGAUAGCCUUUCGAAAGAAAGAUUAAUACCCGAUAGCAUAAUGAUUCCGCAUGGUUUCAUUAUUAAAGGAUUCCGGUAAAGGAUGGGGAUGCGUUCCAUUAGGUUGUUGGUGAGGUAACGGCCCACCAAGCCUUCGAUGGAUAGGGGUUCUGAGAGGAAGGUCCCCCACAUUGGAACUGAGACACGGUCCAAACUCCUACGGGAGGCAGCAGUGAGGAAUAUUGGUCAAUGGGCGUUAGCCUGAACCAGCCAAGUAGCGUGAAGGAUGAAGGCUCUAUGGGUCGUAAACUUCUUUUAUAUAAGAAUAAAGUGCAGUAUGUAUACUGUUUUGUAUGUAUUAUAUGAAUAAGGAUCGGCUAACUCCGUGCCAGCAGCCGC